rnacentral:rRNA from 1 species
GGGUUGUGAGGUUAAGCGACUAAGCGUACACGGUGGAUGCCCUGGCAGUCAGAGGCGAUGAAGGACGUGCUAAUCUGCGAUAAGCGUCGGUAAGGUGAUAUGAACCGUUAUAACCGGCGAUUUCCGAAUGGGGAAACCCAGUGUGAUUCGUCACACUAUCAUUAACUGAAUCCAUAGGUUAAUGAGGCGAACCGGGGGAACUGAAACAUCUAAGUACCCCGAGGAAAAGAAAUCAACCGAGAUUCCCCCAGUAGCGGCGAGCGAACGGGGAGCAGCCCAGAGCCUGAAUCAGUGUGUGUGUUAGUGGAAGCGUCUGGAAAGGCGCGCGAUACAGGGUGACAGCCCCGUACACAAAAAUGCACAUGCUGUGAGCUCGAUGAGUAGGGCGGGACACGUGGUAUCCUGUCUGAAUAUGGGGGGACCAUCCUCCAAGGCUAAAUACUCCUGACUGACCGAUAGUGAACCAGUACCGUGAGGGAAAGGCGAAAAGAACCCCGGCGAGGGGAGUGAAAAAGAACCUGAAACCGUGUACGUACAAGCAGUGGGAGCACGCUUAGGCGUGUGACUGCGUACCUUUUGUAUAAUGGGUCAGCGACUUAUAUUCUGUAGCAAGGUUAACCGAAUAGGGGAGCCGAAGGGAAACCGAGUCUUAACUGGGCGUUAAGUUGCAGGGUAUAGACCCGAAACCCGGUGAUCUAGCCAUGGGCAGGUUGAAGGUUGGGUAACACUAACUGGAGGACCGAACCGACUAAUGUUGAAAAAUUAGCGGAUGACUUGUGGCUGGGGGUGAAAGGCCAAUCAAACCGGGAGAUAGCUGGUUCUCCCCGAAAGCUAUUUAGGUAGCGCCUCGUGAACUCAUCUCCGGGGGUAGAGCACUGUUUCGGCAAGGGGGUCAUCCCGACUUACCAACCCGAUGCAAACUGCGAAUACCGGAGAAUGUUAUCACGGGAGACACACGGCGGGUGCUAACGUCCGUCGUGAAGAGGGAAACAACCCAGACCGCCAGCUAAGGUCCCAAAGUCAUGGUUAAGUGGGAAACGAUGUGGGAAGGCCCAGACAGCCAGGAUGUUGGCUUAGAAGCAGCCAUCAUUUAAAGAAAGCGUAAUAGCUCACUGGUCGAGUCGGCCUGCGCGGAAGAUGUAACGGGGCUAAACCAUGCACCGAAGCUGCGGCAGCGACGCUGAUGCGUUGUUGGGUAGGGGAGCGUUCUGUAAGCCUGUGAAGGUGUGCUGUGAGGCAUGCUGGAGGUAUCAGAAGUGCGAAUGCUGACAUAAGUAACGAUAAAGCGGGUGAAAAGCCCGCUCGCCGGAAGACCAAGGGUUCCUGUCCAACGUUAAUCGGGGCAGGGUGAGUCGACCCCUAAGGCGAGGCCGAAAGGCGUAGUCGAUGGGAAACAGGUUAAUAUUCCUGUACUUGGUGUUACUGCGAAGGGGGGACGGAGAAGGCUAUGUUGGCCGGGCGACGGUUGUCCCGGUUUAAGCGUGUAGGCUGGUUUUCCAGGCAAAUCCGGAAAAUCAAGGCUGAGGCGUGAUGACGAGGCACUACGGUGCUGAAGCAACAAAUGCCCUGCUUCCAGGAAAAGCCUCUAAGCAUCAGGUAACAUCAAAUCGUACCCCAAACCGACACAGGUGGUCAGGUAGAGAAUACCAAGGCGCUUGAGAGAACUCGGGUGAAGGAACUAGGCAAAAUGGUGCCGUAACUUCGGGAGAAGGCACGCUGAUAUGUAGGUGAAGUCCCUCGCGGAUGGAGCUGAAAUCAGUCGAAGAUACCAGCUGGCUGCAACUGUUUAUUAAAAACACAGCACUGUGCAAACACGAAAGUGGACGUAUACGGUGUGACGCCUGCCCGGUGCCGGAAGGUUAAUUGAUGGGGUCAGCGCAAGCGAAGCUCUUGAUCGAAGCCCCGGUAAACGGCGGCCGUAACUAUAACGGUCCUAAGGUAGCGAAAUUCCUUGUCGGGUAAGUUCCGACCUGCACGAAUGGCGUAAUGAUGGCCAGGCUGUCUCCACCCGAGACUCAGUGAAAUUGAACUCGCUGUGAAGAUGCAGUGUACCCGCGGCAAGACGGAAAGACCCCGUGAACCUUUACUAUAGCUUGACACUGAACAUUGAGCCUUGAUGUGUAGGAUAGGUGGGAGGCUUAGAAGUGUGGACGCCAGUCUGCAUGGAGCCGACCUUGAAAUACCACCCUUUAAUGUUUGAUGUUCUAACGUUGACCCGUAAUCCGGGUUGCGGACAGUGUCUGGUGGGUAGUUUGACUGGGGCGGUCUCCUCCUAAAGAGUAACGGAGGAGCACGAAGGUUGGCUAAUCCUGGUCGGACAUCAGGAGGUUAGUGCAAUGGCAUAAGCCAGCUUGACUGCGAGCGUGACGGCGCGAGCAGGUGCGAAAGCAGGUCAUAGUGAUCCGGUGGUUCUGAAUGGAAGGGCCAUCGCUCAACGGAUAAAAGGUACUCCGGGGAUAACAGGCUGAUACCGCCCAAGAGUUCAUAUCGACGGCGGUGUUUGGCACCUCGAUGUCGGCUCAUCACAUCCUGGGGCUGAAGUAGGUCCCAAGGGUAUGGCUGUUCGCCAUUUAAAGUGGUACGCGAGCUGGGUUUAGAACGUCGUGAGACAGUUCGGUCCCUAUCUGCCGUGGGCGCUGGAGAACUGAGGGGGGCUGCUCCUAGUACGAGAGGACCGGAGUGGACGCAUCACUGGUGUUCGGGUUGUCAUGCCAAUGGCACUGCCCGGUAGCUAAAUGCGGAAGAGAUAAGUGCUGAAAGCAUCUAAGCACGAAACUUGCCCCGAGAUGAGUUCUCCCUGACUCCUUGAGAGUCCUGAAGGAACGUUGAAGACGACGACGUUGAUAGGCCGGGUGUGUAAGCGCAGCGAUGCGUUGAGCUAACCGGUACUAAUGAACCGUGAGGCUUAACCUUACAACGCCGAAGCUGUU